GAUGAACGCUGGCGGCGUGCCUAAUACAUGCAAGUCGAGCGAACAGAUGAGUAGCUUGCUCCUCUGACGUUAGCGGCGGACGGGUGAGUAACACGUGGAUAACCUACCUAUAAGACUGUGAUAACUUCGGGAAACCGGAGCUACUACCGGCUAAUAUAUUGAACCGCAUGGUUCAAUAGUGAAAGCCGGUUUUGCUGUCACUUAUAGAUGGAUCCGCUCCGCAUUAGCUAGUUGGUAAGGUAACGGCUUACCAAGGCAGCGAUGCGUAGCCGACCUGAGAGGGUGAUCGGCCACACUGGAACUGAGACACGGUCCAGACUCCUACGGGAGGCAGCAGUAGGGAAUCUUCCGCAAUGGGCGAAAGCCUGACGGAGCAACGCCGCGUGAGUGAUGAAGGUCUUCGGAUCGUAAAACACUGUUAUUAGGGAAGAACAAAUGUGUAAGUAACUAUGCACGUCUUGACGGUACCUAAUCAGAAAGCCACGGCUAACUACGUG
rnacentral:rRNA from 1 species